UACGGGGGGGGCAAGCGUUGUUCGGAAUUACUGGGCGUAAAGGGCUCGUAGGCGGCCAACUAAGUCAAACGUGAAAUCCCUCGGCUUAACCGGGGAGCUGCGCUUGAUACUGGAUGGCUUGAGAUUGGGAGAGGGAUGCGGAAUUCCAGGUGUAGCGGUGAAAUGCGUAGAUAUCUGGAGGAAUACCGGUGGCGAAGGCGGCAUCCUGGACCGGCAUUGACGCUGAGUGAGCGAAAGCCAGGGGAGCAAACGGG
rnacentral:rRNA from 1 species